rnacentral:rRNA from 1 species
GACGAACCGUGCUAACGUUGUUCGGAAUCACUGGGCUUAAAGGGCGCGUAGGCGGGCAGUCAAGUCAGGGGUGAAAGCGUUCGGCUCAACCGGACAAGUGCCUUUGAUACUGGCUGUCUGGAGGGAGGUAGGGGCGCGUGGAACUUCCGGUGGAGCGGUGAAAUGCGUAGAUAUCGGAAGGAACGCCGGUGGCGAAAGCGACGCGCUGGACCUCUUCUGACGCUGAGGCGCGAAAGCCAGGGGAGCAAACGGG